rnacentral:rRNA from 1 species
UACGUAGGGGGCGAGCGUUGUCCGGAUUUAUUGGGCGUAAAGAGCGUGUAGGCGGCCAGGUAGGUCUGCUGUGAAAACUCGAGGCUCAACCUCGAGACGUCGGCGGAAACCAUCUGGCUAGAGUCCGGAAGAGGAGAGUGGAAUUCCUGGUGUAGCGGUGAAAUGCGUAGAUAUCGGGAGGAACACCAGUGGCGAAGGCGAGUCUCUGGGAUGAUGCUGACGCUGAGGCGCGAAAGCCAGGGGAGCAAACGGG